CAUAGCGACUAUCGUGGCAUAUCAAUAAGCGGAGGAAAAGAAACUAACUAGGAUUCCCUCAGUAACGGCGAGUGAAGCGGGAAGAGCUCAAAUUUGAAAUCUUCAAGGUUCUACCUUGACGAAUUGUAGUUUAAAGAAGUGUUUUCUGUUGGAGUUUUGGUAAAAGUUCUUUGGAAUAGGACAUCAUAGAGGGUGAGAAUCCCGUAUUUGACCAUUAUUUCCAACUUUGUGAUACACUUUCAAAGAGUCGGAUUGUUUGGGAAUGCAGUCCAAAAUGGGUGGUAAAUUUCAUCUAAAGCUAAAUACUGGCGAGAGACCGAUAGCGAACAAGUACCGUGAGGGAAAGAUGAAAAGAACUUUGAAAAGAGAGUUAAACAGUACGUGAAAUUGUCAAAAGGGAAGCGUUUGACACCAGUGUUGUUUAGUUGAAAAUCAAUUCAAUAAUUUUUGAUUUUAAGUAGUAUUGACUUCAUCAGCUUGCUGCUUUCUUUUCAGGAAUUAUUGAAUGCACUUUUCAGUUAACAAGUCAACAUCAAUUUCUUUUGUUGUAAAAGGGUAAGAGGAAGGUGGCUUACGCUUCGGCGUAAGUGUUUAUAGCCUUUUACCUCUGCAAUCGGAGAGAUUGAGGACAGCAGCGUAGACUCUUCGGGGUUAGAUACACUUGUGCUAAGCUAUAGCCUUGUAUAGACAACUUGUUGACUAUGCUCAGUCAUGUAGCUUACUCGCUUGUGCUAUUUUACCUACGCUUAGGAUGUUGAUAGUCACAGCGUGUAC
rnacentral:rRNA from 1 species